UACGUAGGGUGCAAGCGUUGUCCGGAAUUAUUGGGCGUAAAGAGCUCGUAGGCGGUCUGUCACGUCGGCUGUGAAAACCCGGGGCUCAACCCCGGGCCUGCAGUCGAUACGGGCAGACUAGAGUGCGGUAGGGGAGACUGGAAUUCCUGGUGUAGCGGUGAAAUGCGCAGAUAUCAGGAGGAACACCGGUGGCGAAGGCGGGUCUCUGGGCCGUAACUGACGCUGAGGCACGAAAGCGUGGGUAGCAAACAGG
rnacentral:rRNA from 1 species